CUCAUAUAUAAAUGAGUCCAAACAUUUCAUUCCUUUAAAAUCCGAUUAUUAUUGCAGGAAGAGCAGGGACAUCUUAACGUACCGGUAUUUUCUUCUGGUUGUUGUUGAACAAGCCUCAUGAAUUCUCCAACACCUUCUGCGUAUUAUUCCAUAAGUAAGUUGGCGUUUGGAUCCAAAUGAGGUUCAUCCAUCCACGAACGAUAAUAAUUUCGAGAAGACAUGAUUUUUUUUUUUUUGGAUUUGUAGUAAAGAGAGUGAGGAAGUGUGAAUAAGGGAAUGAGCGAGAGCACAUAUUUAUAAAGGAAAGUUGCCGACAUAAUCGAUGGAAGAGCAUCAAACCGUCGGAAAUCCGUCGGAAACAUUUAACGGUCAUAAUAUUCGUCGGAUUUCCGUCGGAAUUUCGUCGGUAUACACCGACGAAAUUCGGACGAAAAUAAAAAAAUACAAAACAUUAAAAAAGCCGCGUAACGGAUAUAUAUUUUCCUCGGAUUGUGGUCGGUAUAUACCGACGAAAAUAAAAAAUUCAAAACAUUUAAAAAGGUCGUGUAACGGAUAUAUUCUUUCCUCGGCUUGUGGUCGGAAUGGCGUCGAAAUUUCCCGACAACGUUUGUUUUGUCGAAGUUUCAAC
rnacentral:lncRNA from 1 species